rnacentral:rRNA from 1 species
GAUGAAAGCUGGCGGCGUGCUUAACACAUGCAAGUCGAACGGUGAAAGCGGAGCUUGCUCUGCUGGAUCAGCGGCGAACGGGUGAGUAACACGUGAGCAAUCUGCCCUUGACUCUGGGAUAAGCGCUGGAAACGGCGUCUAAUACCGGAUACGAGCUGCGAAGGCAUCUUCAGCAGCUGGAAAGAACUUCGGUCAAGGAUGAGCUCGCGGCCUAUCAGCUUGUUGGUGAGGUAACGGCUCACCGAGGCGUCGACGGGUAGCCGGCCUGAGAGGGUGACCGGCCACACUGGGACUGAGACACGGCCCAGACUCCUACGGGAGGCAGCAGUGGGGAAUAUUGCACAAUGGGCGCAAGCCUGAUGCAGCAACGCCGCGUGAGGGACGACGGCCUUCGGGUUGUAAACCUCUUUUAGCAGGGAAGAAGCGAAAGUGACGGUACCUGCAGAAAAAGCACCGGCUAACUACGUGCCAGCAGCCGCGGUAA